GCGGGGCCGCAUUAAUGCUGCUUUAUUGUCACUCCAACCAACAACAACCAAAGAGCAACACCACCACCACCACCACCGCCAACAGGCAAACUCCCAGCCCAGCAGUGCCACCCGGGGGAGGAGGAGGAGGAGCGGGUGUUGCGUGUGUGUGUUGUGUUGCGUUGUGUGUGCGUGUGCCUGUUGUCAUGCCGGUGGUCACUCGCUCGGUUCGGCUGGUUCGGUGGUUGGAGGUCGGUCGGUUGUUGCCGCCGCCUGUUGCGAGCGGGGCCGCGUUAACGCUGUUCUAUUGUCACUCCAACCAACAACAACCAAAGAGCAACACCACCACCACCGCCAACAGGCGAACUCCCAGCCCGGCAGUGCCACCCAGGGGAGGAGGAGGAGGAGGAGCAGUGGGUGUUGUGUGUGUGUUGUGUGUUGUGUUGUGUGUGUGUGUGCCUGUUGUCAUGCCGCUGGUCACUCACUUGGUUCGGCUGGUUCCGUGGUUGGCGGUGGUUGGAGGUCAGUCGGUUGUUGCGAGUGGGGCCGUGUUAACACUGGUUUAUUGUCACUCCAACCAACAACACCACCAACACUACCACCACCACCACCACCAACAGGCGAACUCCCAGCCCGGCAGUGUCACCCAGGGGAGGAGGAGGAGGAGGAGCGGGUGUUGUGUGUUGUGUUGUGUUGUGUUGUGUUGUGUGUGCGUGCGCCUGUUGUCAUGCCGGUGGUCACUCACUCAGUUCAUCUGGUUCGGUGGUUGGCGGUGGUUGGAGGUCAGUCGGUUGUUGCGAGCGGGGCCGCAUUAACGCUGCUUUAUUGUCACUCCAACACCACCACCACCACCACCGCCAACAGGCGAACUCCCAGCCCGGCGGUGCCACCGGGGGGAGGAGGAGGAGGAGGAGCGGGUGUUGUGUGUGUGUUGUGUUGUGUUGUGCGUUGUGUUGUGUUGUGUGUGCAUGUGCCUGUUGUCAUGCCAGUGGUCACUUGCUUGGUUUGGCUG
rnacentral:lncRNA from 1 species